CGCGUAGGCGGGGAGGUAAGUCGGGUGUGAAAUCCCUCGGCCCAACCGAGGAACUGCGCCCGAGACUGCUUCUCUUGAGUCCCGGAGAGGAAGGUGGAAUUCCCGGUGUAGCGGUGAAAUGCGUAGAGAUCGGGAGGAACACCGGUGGCGAAGGCGGCCUUCUGGACGGUGACUGACGCUGAGGCGCGAAAGCGUGGGGAGCAAACG
rnacentral:rRNA from 1 species